UGCGUAGGCGGCCUAGAAAGUUGGGUGUGAAAGCCCUCGGCUCAACCGGGGAAUUGCGCCCAAAACUGUUAGGCUUGAGGGAGGUAGAGGUAAGCGGAACUAAUGGUGGAGCGGUGAAAUGCGUUGAUAUCAUUAGGAACACCUGAGGCGAAAGCAGCUUACUGGGCCUUUUCUGACGCUGAGGCACGAAAGCUAGGGGAGCGAACG
rnacentral:rRNA from 1 species